UAGGGAAUCUUCCACAAUGGACGCAAGUCUGAUGGAGCAACGCCGCGUGAGUGAAGAAGGUUUUCGGAUCGUAAAGCUCUGUUGUUGGUGAAGAAGGAUAGGGGCAGUAACUGGUCUUUAUUUGACGGUAAUCAACCAGAAAGUCACGGCUAACUACGUGCCAG
rnacentral:rRNA from 1 species